rnacentral:rRNA from 1 species
AGAGUUUGAUCCUGGCUCAGAACGAACGCUGGCGGCAUGCUCAUACAUGCAAGUCGAACGAGAAAUAAGCUUUCGGGUUUAUGGACAGUGGCGAACGGGUGCGUAACGCGUGGGAACUUACCAUAUAGUGUGGGACAACAGUUGGAAACGACUGCUAAUACCGCAUACGCCCUACGGGGGAAAGCUUCAAGUGCUAUAUGAUAGGCCCGCGUUAGAUUAGUUAGUUGGUGAGGUAAAGGCUCACCAAGGCGACGAUCUAUAGCUGGUUUGAGAGGAUGAUCAGCCACACUGGGACUGAGACACGGCCCAGACUCCUGCGGGAGGCAGCAGUAGGGAAUAUUGGACAAUGGGGGCAACCCUGAUCCAGCAAUGCCGCGUGUGUGAAGAAGGCCUUAGGGUUGUAAAUCACUUUCAACUGUGAAGAUAAUGACUGUAACAGUAGAAGAAGCUCCGGCUAACUCCGUGCCAGCAGCCGCGGUAAUACGGAGGGAGCUAGCGUUGUUCGGAAUUACUGGGCGUAAAGAGCACGUAGGCGGCUAGAUGCGUCAGGGGUGAAAUCCCGGGGCUUAACCUCGGAACUGCCUUUGAUACGGUUUAGCUAGAAUAUCGGAGAGGUUAGUGGAAUUCCAAGUGUAGAGGUGAAAUUCGUAGAUAUUUGGAAGAACAUCAGUGGCGAAGGCGACUAACUGGACGAUUAUUGACGCUGAGGUGCGAAAGCGUGGGGAGCGAACGGGAUUAGAUACCCCGGUAGUCCACGCCGUAAACGAUGAGUGCUAGCUGUUGGGAUCUUAGGGUUUCAGUGGCGCAGCUAACGCAUUAAGCACUCCGCCUGGGGAGUACGGUCGCAAGAUUAAAACUCAAAGGAAUUGACGG